rnacentral:rRNA from 1 species
ACGAACGCUGGCGGCGUGCUUAACACCUGCAAGUCGAACGAGAGCGUAGAGAAAGCUUGCUUUUUCUACAAUCUAGUGGCAAACGGGUGAGUAACGCGUAAACAACCUGCCCUACGGAUGGGGACAACAGCUGGAAACGGCUGCUAAUACCGAAUACGUUCCGAAAGUCGCAUGACUAUCGGAAGAAAGGAUGGCCUCUAUUUAUAAGCUAUCGCCGGAGGAGGGGUUUGCGUCUGAUUAGCUAGUUGGAGGGGUAACGGCCCACCAAGGCGACGAUCAGUAGCCGGUCUGAGAGGAUGAACGGCCACAUUGGAACUGAGACACGGUCCAGACUCCUACGGGAGGCAGCAGUGGGGAAUCUUCCGCAAUGGGCGAAAGCCUGACGGAGCAACGCCGCGUGAGUGAAGACGGCCUUCGGGUUGUAAAGCUCUGUUAUACGGGACGAAUAAUCUUGUGGUUAAUACCCAUGAGAAGUGACGGUACCGUAAGAGAAAGCCACGGCUAACUACGUG